AGAUGCCUGCCAGUUUCAGGUGCCUGCCGCCGCCGUGCGUCAGGUGAAACGGGAAGCCGGUGCGUCGUUAUCGACCAGUCCGGCGCUGCCCCCGCAACGGUAAGCGAGUGAAGCAUUCAACCCGCCACUGUGCCCACAGGCAUGGGAAGGCGAAUGGCUUCAAGCCUCGCAAGCCCGGAGACCGGCCUGAAGCCCCACGACUGCA
rnacentral:ncRNA from 1 species